UCCCAAACAUAAACCGAGAAGAAGUUCUUGAGAAAAUCAUCCAUGAAAACAUCUUAGUUGUUCGAAGUUGGCAAAAAAAUUUUCUUAAGCCACCACCAAUGCUCGACUUCACCAGUAAACGUAAAAGCUGCCAAUGGGACAUUAUGUUGCUCAGUUAGGUUAAGAAAAACUUUUUUAUUUGUAAAAUCCAGGCUUUUGCGGCUAAAGGGU
rnacentral:lncRNA from 1 species